AGAACGAACGCUUGCGGCAUGCCUAACACAUGCAAGUCGAACGAGACCUUCGGGUCUAGUGGCGCACGGGUGCGUAACGCGUGGGAAUCUACCCUUGGGUUCGGAAUAACUCAGAGAAAUUUGAGCUAAUACCGGAUGAUGUCGUAAGACCAAAGAUUUAUCGCCCAGGGAUGAGCCCGCGUAGGAUUAGCUAGUUGGUGAGGUAAAGGCUCACCAAGGCGACGAUCCUUAGCUGGUCUGAGAGGAUGAUCAGCCACACUGGGACUGAGACACGGCCCAGACUCCUACGGGAGGCAGCAGUGGGGAAUAUUGGACAAUGGGCGAAAGCCUGAUCCAGCAAUGCCGCGUGAGUGAUGAAGGCCUUAGGGUUGUAAAGCUCUUUUACCCGGGAUGAUAAUGACAGUACCGGGAGAAUAAGCUCCGGCUAACUCCGCGCCAGCAGCCGC
rnacentral:rRNA from 1 species